rnacentral:rRNA from 1 species
UACGGAGGGUGCGAGCGUUGUCCGGAAUCACUGGGCGUAAAGGGCGCGUAGGCGGCCCGGUAAGUAGGGGGUGAAAUCUUGCGGCUUAACCGCAAGGCUGCCUUCUAAACUGCCAGGCUUGAGCACAGUAGAGGCAGGUGGAAUUCCCGGUGUAGCGGUGGAAUGCGUAGAGAUCGGGAAGAACAUCGGUGGCGAAGGCGGCCUGCUGGGCUGUUGCUGACGCUGAGGCGCGACAGCGUGGGGAGCGAACAGG